GAUGAACGCUGGCGGCGUGCCUAAUACAUGCAAGUAGAACGCUGAAGCUUGGUGCUUGCACCGAGCGGAUGAGUUGCGAACGGGUGAGUAACGCGUAGGUAACCUGCCUCUUAGCGGGGGAUAACUAUUGGAAACGAUAGCUAAUACCGCAUAAAAGUCGACAUUGCAUGAUGUUGACUUGAAAGGUGCAAUUGCAUCACUAAGAGAUGGACCUGCGUUGUAUUAGCUAGUUGGUGAGGUAACGGCUCACCAAGGCAACGAUACAUAGCCGACCUGAGAGGGUGAUCGGCCACACUGGGACUGAGACACGGCCCAGACUCCUACGGGAGGCAGCAGUAGGGAAUCUUCGGCAAUGGGGGCAACCCUGACCGAGCAACGCCGCGUGAGUGAAGAAGGUUUUCGGAUCGUAAAGCUCUGUUGUAAGAGAAGAACGAGUGUGAGAGUGGAAAGUUCACACUGUGACGGUAACUUACCAGGAAGGGACGGCUAACUACGUGCCAGCAGCCGCGGUAAUACGUAGGUCCCGAGCGUUAUCCGGAUUUAUUGGGCGUAAAGCGAGCGCAGGCGGUUAGAUAAGUCUGAAGUUAAAGGCUGUGGCUUAACCAUAGUACGCUUUGGAAACUGUUUAACUUGAGUGCAGAAGGGGAGAGUGGAAUUCCAUGUGUAGCGGUGAAAUGCGUAGAUAUAUGGAGGAACACCGGUGGCGAAAGCGGCUCUCUGGUCUGUAACUGACGCUGAGGCUCGAAAGCGUGGGGAGCAAACAGG
rnacentral:rRNA from 1 species